CUUCCUCCCCCUCUUCCUCGCUCUCUGGUCCAGUUCAGUGGUGUUCAUCCACAGAAAGGAGAUCCGCUCCCCCUCUCUUUCUUUCUUUCCUCCUCCUCCACCUCCAUCUUUGAGAUAAAACGCAGGCUUUGGGUUCCCAGCAGCAGCAGCAGCAGCAGCAGCAGCAGUGGGCUGGCGCUGCAGUUGAGCUGGCACACAAUCAACGUGGGCGCGCGCAGUGAGUGAGAGGAGACGCGCCGCAUCUUGUGGGGUUCUUGGCGUCCACCCAGCCCGUUCAUGAUUCUCCUCAUCAGUCACACACAGACCUGGACUUGACAUCACUUCUCGGAGGGAAAAAUGUGGAAGCGCACAGUUGCUGCAGUCUUUGUAUUAUUUAAUUUUUGUGGGGACUCGUUGGCAGGGUUUCCAAACCAAAUAAACAUCGGUGGACUGUUCAUGCGCUCCACGGUGCAGGAGCACAGCGCCUUCAGGUUUGCUGUCCAGCUGUACAACACCAACCAGAAUGUGACAGAAAAACCCUUCCACCUCAAUUACAACGUUGACAACCUGGAGUCCUCCAACAGCUUCUCUGUCACACAUGCCUUCUGCUCCCAGUUCUCCAGAGGAGUUUACGCCAUCUUUGGGUUCUACGACCGGAAGUCCAUGAACACGCUGACCUCCUUCUGCGGGGCUCUGCACACAUCCUUCAUCACGCCCAGCUUCCCCAUCGACGUUGACGUGCAGUUCGUCAUCCAGAUGAGACCGAGUUUGAAAGGAGUUGUUCUCAGCCUCCUGGAUCAUUAUAAGUGGGAGAGGUUCGUCUAUCUAUACGACACUGACAGAGGUUUUGCAAUCCUCCAAUCCAUUAUGGAGACGGCUGUGGCCAAUAACUGGCAGGUGACGGCUCGCUCAGUCGGGAACAUCGUGGAUCCCACGGAGUACAGACGCAUCAUUGAGGAGAUGGACCGCCGGCAGGAGAAGCGUUUUCUCAUUGACUGUGAGGUGGAGAGGAUCAACCUGAUACUUCAGCAGGUGGUGACCUCAGGGAAAAACAGCAGAGGAUACCACUACAUCCUGGCCAACCUGGGUUUCUCCAACCUGAGCCUGGACAGGGUCUUCUCUGGUGGGGCCAACAUCACAGGCUUCCAGAUCAUCAACCCAGACAGCAACAUCGUUCAACAGUUCCUCCAGCGCUGGGAGCGCUUGGAUGAAAGAGAGUUUCCAGAAGCCAAAAACACUCCACUAAAGUACACCUCAGCGCUUACCCAUGAUUCCAUUCUCGUGAUUGCGGAGGCUUUCCGGUACCUUCGGCGCCAACGGGUAGAUGUGUCUCGCAGAGGGAGUGCUGGCGACUGCCUCGCUAACCCCGCAGUGCCCUGGAGCCAAGGCAUUGACAUAGAGAGAGCGCUCAAAAUGGUCCAGGUACAAGGUAUGACAGGAAACAUCCAGUUUGACACAUUUGGGCGACGGUCUAAUUACUCCAUCGACGUGUACGAGAUGAAACCCAAGGGACCAAGGAAGAUCGGCUACUGGAACGAGUUCGAAAAAUUUGUAUAUAUAAUGGACCAGCAGGUCACCAACGAGUCCUCUUCUGUGGAAAACCGAACAAUUGUGGUCACUACUAUUAUGGAAGCUCCGUAUGUGAUGUACAAGAAAAACUUUAUGCAGCUGGAUGGCAAUGACAGAUAUGAAGGCUACUGUGUCGAUUUAGCUUCUGAAAUUGCUAAACAUGUGGGGAUAAAAUAUAAGCUGUCAAUAGUGCCGGAUGGAAAAUACGGAGCCAGAGAUCCAGAGACUAAGACGUGGAACGGGAUGGUGGGUGAACUGGUUUAUGGGAGAGCUGACAUAGCCGUGGCUCCGUUAACCAUAACGUUGGUGCGAGAAGAGGUGAUAGACUUCUCUAAACCCUUCAUGAGUUUGGGCAUCUCGAUUAUGAUCAAGAAGCCUCAGAAGUCCAAGCCGGGGGUGUUUUCCUUCCUGGACCCUCUGGCCUAUGAGAUUUGGAUGUGUAUAGUUUUUGCUUAUAUCGGCGUGAGCGUGGUGCUCUUCCUGGUGAGCCGUUUCAGCCCAUAUGAGUGGCACCUGGAUGAGAAUGACGAGGCCAAAGACCCUCAGGGACCCCCUGACCCUCCAAAUGACUUUGGGAUUUUUAAUAGCCUGUGGUUCUCCCUGGGUGCCUUCAUGCAGCAAGGAUGCGAUAUCUCGCCAAGGUCUCUGUCCGGCCGUAUUGUCGGGGGAGUGUGGUGGUUUUUCACCCUCAUCAUCAUCUCUUCCUACACGGCCAACCUGGCUGCCUUCCUCACCGUGGAGAGGAUGGUCUCUCCGAUCGAGAGCGCCGAGGAUCUGGCCAAGCAGACGGAGAUUGCCUAUGGGACGCUGGACUCAGGCUCCACCAAGGACUUCUUUAGGCGCUCCAAAAUAGCAGUUUAUGAGAAAAUGUGGUCGUACAUGAAAUCGGCGGAGCCCUCGGUGUUUGUCAAGACGACGCCAGACGGGGUUUCCCGGGUUCGGAAGUCGAAGGGCAAGUUUGCCUUUCUGCUGGAGUCCACGAUGAACGAGUACAUAGAGCAGCGGAAGCCAUGCGACACCAUGAAAGUGGGCGGAAACCUCGACUCUAAAGGCUACGGGGUGGCCACACCUAAAGGCUCAGCAUUAAGCUUGCAUCUUGAUGGCUGUGAGGAGGCUGGUCCACCUUUGAUGUUCUCCUCUCUGGGUAUCCAAACCCGAGUGAGCAGGAUUCCAGCAGAGGAGUGACACAAAGAAAGCUCCUCUCCUCUAGCUCAUUUCAUUUUUAGGUCCAGUUAAAGAGAUUAAAUGAUCCGUAUGACAGCAUCGCUCCUGACUGCCACAUUUCUUUCUGCUUAUUUCACUCUCAGAGAAAGCAUUCGCGUGAGAUGUAACAAUGAAAUGGAAAUAUAUUGUAUGUAACGACCACCGAGGAAGGAAAUGUUAACAAAGUUUCCUGAAAUCUGAUCAGCUCCGAUGUUCAGAUCCAGAUCUCUCUUUUAAACAUUUUAAUGAUGCUUUCAUUACAUUUUCCCUUAUUUCAUCCCACGUGUGAUAUUGAGUCCACGCUCUGUUUGCAUGUGUUCUACCCAUCAGUGUGUGUUUUCUGACAUCACUUCCUGUUUUUCAGACUGAUUGAAAGUUAAAGUUAUGAUUGGACAACCAAAAAAACAGGCAUGAUGUUACAUCACUUCAUCUGCCUCUCUUCUUAUCCUGAUGCACCAUCACUCUGGAACAGGGUCCAUCUGGACUCUUCAGACCAGUUUUAAUAAUGCUUUGGACAGUUCUUAACCCACUUUUAGUCUUUUCUGCAUCUCCUCAGAUGUUUUCUCUGCUUGGGUUAGGGUUCUCAAACAGACCAAAUCAAUAAAUCCAGGUGCUGACGUUUUUGGUGAAGUGUAUAUUUAUCCCAGCAAAGCAAUAUCUUAAUUGAUUUUUAGGUAAUAUGCAUAGUAAUAAUCACAUAAAUAUAAUAAUAGCAAUACUAAUAGUAAUAAAUAGAUAAUAAUAAGGUCAUGUUACAGAGAAACACUUUAUGGUUGUGAUCAGUGGUUUCUACCUGCUGGUAGGGGUUGUAUGAACUAGUCAACUUCACGGCUCUGUAGUGACUUUUUAUGUCUGUCAUCGACUAGUCGCUGUCCCAUGAUAAUGACUGACAAGAUGCAGUCCUCGGAAAAGACAGCAGGUGAUGAGCCCCUGCGCGUCGGGAGGCGGAGGUGACGCACUGUGCCAGAGCGUCGGUACUGACACCGGCGGUAAAACGGACAUUUAACCAAACUGUGACCUUUUCCCUCUUGCAAUUUUACCUUCCCCUCACCCCCAUCCUAAUUUUAACCAGUUUGCAAAGCUCUGAUCUUUAAUGCGCUCCAGACAUCUGCGUCCUGAACACCGCCAAAUCAGGUGUCACCACCUCAAAAACAAAUUAAACACGCUAUCGUUCAUGUCGGCUCAUUUCCUUUAAUGUUUCCUGUCUGCUAUUUGUGCCUGAUGCGUUUCGCUGCUGCGGAGCGAGGUUCUUCACCUGUUUUGUCCUCCGGUGACGCACCCCCAAAAUUCCACUAUCUCCGCUCCGGCACGAACUCUGCAGCAAAAACGGUCCCGUUGUUGUCGGCCGGCGAGCAGCGGCACUCCGCUGUUUUUGCGGUCGGUAGAUCUUUUAGAACUGCAGUUCAAAGGUAACUCAUAAGGUGAAUAUAUAUGAAUGCAGGUAGCAGUUUUUCUUUAGGAUUGAGAGGAGAUGCAGGAAGAUGAUAAACAGACAGGACAGAAAAAUAGUCAAAUAAAAACAAGUUAGUUUUUGUACCUGGUGGUUGCAACAAACAAACACCAUUGAAGGUAAUCAGAAGUGAGGAACAGAAAAUGAAAUACUUAUUUUAAUGUUUAGAGCAGCAGGAACUCUGAGAGGCUGCAGGCGCAUCAGUGAGUUUGCAGCCUCUGCGCGCGCGGGGGGGGAGGGGGGGGGCUGAAGUAGGAUGCAGAAACUACAGUUGUUAAAAGAGAUGUGUUAACUUAGAAAAUGUGGGCGCAAUUUUAAUUGUCAAAAACUCCAGCGAACCUACCGACCCCCCCACCACCACCACCACCCCACCCCCCAAUGCCGCUUCAGGUGUAUGACAUCAUCAACGACUAGUCGAAGUCGACUCAAUUUUCAUUACUGUCGACUUUAAAAAAAAUUUAAGUCAUGCAACCCCUACCUGCUGGUGUGUUUAAACUCCUUUGUUCGUUGACUGUUGCAGGUCAUUCAGUUCAUUUUAGAAUAUAAUUUAUUUUCCUUGCCACAUAUGGCUUACAAAUAGAAAACACACACACACGUCAUCAGGAGAACCCAGCUGUGUUUUUGAAGGCAUCAUCCUGACUAUGAACAUCCAUCCAUUCAUCCUACUAACAUAUUGUUAUAAAUAUUUAGUCAGUGAAAAUCAGACCUUCUGCUUUAUGUUGGUGGUGCCAGUUGCAUAAAAUUUAAAUGAAAACAUAUCUGGCAUCUAAAUUUGUCUUCUGGUGAGCCAUUAAACUCAUGCAAACUUUUGAAUAGACAGCUGCUGUUUCGGAAACGAUCUUUUCAACUUGUGAGGAUCCAUUUUUGGAGUCUGGGAGCAGUCGGAGCUCAAAGAGCAUCACAGUCCAUAAAGCAUAAAGCGAUUAAAGGAGUCAAAUCAAUAAAAAUCACUGAAUACUCUUCAGGUAUUCUUAUUCUCACAUAAUUUAAGGAAUUAGAUAAACUCAUAUCUUUUGGGAUUUUUUUUGUAAAUUAAAUCUUAAGAUGCUCCUCAGUGUUGUUGUUGUUGAUUUUAAUACGAUAAUACGAUUAUUAAAUAUCUUUAGAAUAAUAACUCCCUAUUAAAGUUCACAUGCAACGUCUGACUUUAAAAAGGCAAGCAGAAGCUGCAGGUCAGAAUCGGCCAUCUUGAGGUGAAUAUUAUCAUAUCAUGCUGCUAUAAAUAGUUGGCAUUUAGUUUCUGCUCUUUGCAGUGGUGUUUCCCUUCAAUGGUGCUGAAGCAACAACAAUCAUAAUUUUACUUUUUUAAAGCUCAGACUGGAGACCAGGACACCUCACCUGCCUCCUUCAACAUUGACUCACCCAUUAGCAGAAAAAAAACAUAUUUAUUUGUCAUGCAGAAGCACGGUGGUGAAUACAAUAUAUUUAUUGAUAGAUAAGACACAGAUGCUUUUAUUCUGAAAGGAAACAAGCUUAGAAAUGUUGCUGUCAGGGAAACAAUAGAACGUCUCACAGAAAAGCCCCUUCCUCCCUCCUCGUGGUUUUAGUCACUAAGCAGACCUUCCUGAUCUCAUGUGUCUGCAGCACAACAGACACCAAUAAAUCCCUCCGAUGUGCAGAAACAAAAACAGACCCGUGAGCUAAAAUCCUGGUAUUCUAACGUCUGAAUCAGCUUCAAGUGGCUCCAUGUUUGAAGGGGUGAUUCUGUGAGACUCGGAGCUCCACAGCUGUUCAAGAAUUGACAGGACUGCUGUGAGGGUGUCUGUUAGUCGAGAAAGGGUUCCUGUUAGAUCCACUUUGCUAAGCAUCAAACAAGGCUGCAGAAAGCCAAGAGAGGUGUGACAAUCACCGCUCGUCUCUCUGGAAGCUCCGCAGCAGCCACUUUGGUCUUUUCUCACCUCUGUGAUCAGUGUGUGCCGAUUACUCAAAGCGAUACAGGUGGGGUCUGGCAUGUUAGGUUAGUCAUGGAUCGUCAGUCUUAUAUUUCACUACAAUGCAGUGUUGCUUGCUAUCUGUGUGAUGUUGGCCAGGACCCUACUCUAUCGCUUUGUACAGUAUAAAGUAGUUUAAAAGUUGAAUAACAUAAAAUAACAUAAUACAAUGUUAUUUAUGUUAUUUCCCACGUGAAGAACUCCUGUAAACCUUGCAGUAUUGAAACUCAGUGAACAAGGCAUCUUAGACAAGCUGAAAAACAAAUGGUGGUACGAUAAGGGUGAAUGUGGAACCAAGGACUCUGGAAGUAAGGUCAGUCGCUGCAGGUCUUUUUAUACUGAUGGAAAAUGCUUUUUAACUUAACUGUUCAUGUGCAAACAUGUAAAGCAUAUUCACACAUGAUAAUCAUAGCAUGAUCUACCUGAACACAUCCUUAGUUUACCUUCAGAGCAACACGUGGUAAACUUUACCCCCUGCUGUAGUUUAGUCUGUUGACAUUCAACCUCAUCUCUUAAAGCUGCAGCAUGAUGCCCCACAGCUCAUAUUCACUCCAUAACAUUCUGAAAAGUCAAGGACUGAAACCAUUACACUGCUAUUUUCAUCCAAAUAUGUACUGAAGUUGUUUGGAGGUGAAUCGCGUUUGGGACGCUGUGCAAAAUGUCUGAAACGUUCUGGUACUUUGUAAAUAAUUCAAACCACACAUUCAUCUGAAGUUUAUACUCAGAUUGCUAAACGGAAAUGUUGCCGUUAUGGCUUAUUCUCACAGAUUUAGGAGACCUCAGAUGUUUAGAGGACCAGACAGCGCUGACAGAAAUCAACACUUACAGAUUAUCUCGUCUUUAUUCUGCAUGAAGGUUUGUUCUAAACGUCUCCAUCUCUCAGAAGCGCCUCGCCCAGCCAGCACCAGAACUAGAGGACUUAUUGUCAGCGCCUUUCUGAACUAUGCAGUGGUACCCCCAAGGGGUGGCCGGGAGAGGGCCAUGGCCCCCCAUGGAAAAUUGUUGGGCACUCCACUGGCCCCCACAGGGAAGACUACCACACUCCACUUAAUAAAUCACAUUCAUGUUCACAAAAACCAUAUAUACGUCUUCUGUAAUUAUGGUAAUAUCAAUAAAGACAGUAAUUUUACGAACAUUUUAAUUAGUAAAUCUUUAAUAAGUGGCUAGCCAUUUUCAAAUGUUUUUGUGGAUGUUUUUGUUCAGAAGGCAACAGACAAGUCUAAAACAGUAAUGUUUGAAAAAAAUAUUUAAAAAAACUGAGAUAUUUUGUCUUUUUUUUCUUAAAUUUGAGCUAAAUAUGUUCAAUGCAUAGGCCUUUUGUUAUUUUUUCCCCUUUUUAAAUGAAAAAUGGUGAAUGAGCAAUGUAAUGCACAGCUGCAUGCUAAACUCUCCCAGAGUUACCACAGGGGCCAAAUUGGUGUUCCACUCCAAAAUUUUUAAUCCACCCCCUGUCCCCAUAUAUUUCUAGGGGCACCUCUGCAACUACAAACAUGCGUCUGUUAUUUCUCUUUAGAUGUUAAGAUAACUUCACGCUAAUUCCAUCUUAAAUGACAGGAUAUUUUUUCCACUUUUAGUUUAUUCCAAAUAUGCUCAGUGUGAUUUUAAUUCUUUGAAAACAGUAGAAAUUAGUUUCUAGCAGCGUUUUACACAGUGUUCCCGUUGCACGUUUACAUUUUUCAAAGUCAUUCAUCCUUUUAUGACCCCAAAUUGGCCUUUAUAUACUCAGGAAGUUAGAAAAGAGAAUAAAGAUUUCUUUAAGAGACAAAAUCCAAAUAAAAUAAGCUUUCAUCCCUGUUAGGUGACUCUGAAGAUAUACAGCAUUCAUUGACCAGCUCUAAAGAUGUUAACGCAAAUAAUAAAACUCACAUUAAUGAAUUCCAGCAUGACAGUUUGGCUUUUAAUAGCAGUGAAAUGGUUCAGUUCCACCUUGUUACAGUUUGAACUCCACAGAUGUAGAGUUUGCUAAGUUCAGCAGCUAUGAUAGCAAAUUCAGGAUGAUCUGUAGACCUGUACGACCACGACCGCCUUCCUCUAUAUGUGGCCUCGUAAAGAGACCAUCAGCAGAUUAGUCGGUGCGCCUCUCUACAUUCACCUUCUCAUCACUGUAGAGCACAGAAAACUCCAGUUAGAUAUAUUUGAAACAGGUCAAAUGAAGCAGUUAUAUAUCAUUAAGAGUAUGAACACAGUUAUUAUUCUGCUCAGAUUAACUGAUUGUUCAAGCGUAGCUAAGUGCAUGUAGGUUCUGGUGUUGUGUUUGUAGAUUUAAGCACAAAGUCAGUUUUAAAAAGCCUUAACAAAGGUCUCUACCUCCACCAGGACAAGACAAGUGCAUUAAGCCUGAGCAAUGUGGCAGGAGUCUUCUAUAUUCUGGUCGGAGGGCUCGGCUUGGCUAUGACCGUGGCUUUGAUAGAGUUCUGCUAUAAGUCACGGCAAGAAACCAAAAGACUGAAGCUGACAAAGAAUGCCCAGAACUUUAAGCCAGCCCCUCCUUCAAAUGUCCAGAACUUUGCCACGUACCGUGAAGGCUACAACGUUUAUGGGACAGAGAGCGUUAAAAUCUAAAAGAGCUGAUUUGACUCCUCCUGGUGCGUCUGGAUGGAAACAGCCACCCUGUGUGACCCCAACACCCCUGAAGGCUGGCAUCUUGGAGGCAACAGCCUUCCACGUCAUCAGCUUGGACACUAAAGUCUUUGUGUCAACAAGUGCUUAUUUGGGAGUUCAUGACCCCGUCACACUUACAGAGGACAAUGGCACAGCAGGACUUUUAUAGGAAACAUGGGAUUUGCCUCUUGUAGUGCCUUAAAGAGCAUUUUGGCGCCAUCGCAAUGCAAUUAAAUUCAAAUUCACUUGAAAAUAAGAAAAACUAAAAUCUGUGGCGAGAAACUGCUUCAGAUGACACGUGGAUGAUGAACUGUUGUAAUUACUGUUUUAUAUUUUCAAGACAGAAAAAGAAAAAAAGCCAUGAUUUGCUAACGAAUCCACAAGGUAACUAAAAGUCAUCGGAAUCCUUUUAAGACAAUUUUUUGUGGUGAAACCUUCAGUUGGAUAAAUGUUAUAUUUAGUGAGGUAAAGUCAUUUUCUUGUUUUUAAUAUAAGGCUAUUUUCAGUGUCAGAAUAUUUAGGGCAAGUAUCGAUCAGUAAUGUUGAGAACACAUCAAACUGGCAGCAUUUUUAACUCAGAAAAACCAAAAUGUGGCCAAAAACCGCCUGAAUGGUUUCAUUUCCAUAACCUGCUUUGUAUUAACUUAGAUGUUUGAUUUAAAUCACAUAUGUGACUUUGUUUAAACUGCCACAUUUGGAAGGGAGUCUAUUUUAGAGGAAGAGGUCUAAUCAAGUUUUGCCAUAUUGUUAAAAAUCAAAGGAAUGCUUAAUAUUUUAGAGACGAGAAAGGAACCCUGUGUGAUAAAGGAGAACCAGCUCCUGGUUUUGUACGCUGUUCUCAGUUAAAUGCUGUUUCUUCUUGACACCAUCAGAGCUUCUUUGCUUUCUGUGUUUAUGCUUUUUGCAGCAGGUGAGCUGUACACUGAAGAAGAGCAACAAAAUCAAACAUUUAUAUACUUUUUAUAAUCCAAAGGACACCUUAGAACAGCUACAGACCAGGUGUUUAUUAUUUCAGACUCUGAUUCUUUUCAACCCACAUAAAGUGCAUGUGAAUCUGGCAAUGGUUGACCCAAACUGCAACUCAGAAGUAGACCGGGUUUAGUUUGGAUUAAAAAGUGACUUUGGAUCCGGUUUGGUUUUUAGGGUUUUUCCAGUUAUUGUAACAGUACCUCAGCCACGAGAGUUGCAUGUAUGGACACUAUAAGCCUCUGUGAAGAGGUUGUGUACAAAGGAUUUUGGUACAUUUCCUUAAUAAAAGCAAGUUUUUAUUCA